rnacentral:rRNA from 1 species
CCGGUUGAUCCUGCCGGCGGCCACCGCUAUUGGAAUUCGAUUAAGACAUGCGAGUCGAGAGACAUUUGGUCUCGGCGGACCGCUCAGUAACACGCGGAUAACAUGCCCUUGGGUGGGGGAUAACCUCGGGAAACUGAGAAUAAUACCCCAUAGACCUCGAAAGCUGGAAUGCUUCAAGGUCGAAAACUCCGGUGCCCAAGGAUUGGUCUGCGGCGUAUCAGGUCGUAGUGGGUGUAACGUACCCCCUAGCCUAUGACGCGUAAGGGCCUUGAGAGAGGGAGCCCUGAGAUGGACUCUGAGACAUGAGUCCAGGCCCUACGGGGCGCAGCAGUCGCGAAAACUUCACAAUGGGGGAAACCCCGAUGAGGGAAUUCCAAGUGCCAGCACAUUGUGUUGGCUGUUCUUUGGUCUAAAAAACCGGAGAAGUAAGGGCCGGGUAAGACGGGUGCCAGCCGCCGCGGUAAUACCCGCGGCCCGAGUGGUGGUCGAUAUUAUUGAGCCUAAAACGUCCGUAGCCGGUCUUGUAAAUCCUUGGGUAAAUCGACCAGCUUAACUGUUCGAAGUCCGGGGAGACUGCAAGACUUGGGAUCGGGAGAGGUCAGAGGUACUUCUGGGGUAGGGGUAAAAUCCUGUAAUCCUAGAAGGACCACCGGUGGCGAAGGCGUCUGACUAGAACGAAUCCGACGGUGAGGGACGAAGCCCUGGGGCGCAAACGGGAUUAGAUACCCCGGUAGUCCAGGGUGUAAACGCUGCGGGCUUGGUGUUGGGGGUCCUUUGAGGGCGCCCAGCGCCGGAGAGAAGUUGUUAAGCCUGCUGCUUGGGGAGUACGUCCGCAAGGAUGAAACUUAAAGGAAUUGGCGGG